rnacentral:rRNA from 1 species
UACAGAGGGGGCAAGCGUUGUUCGGAAUUACUGGGCGUAAAGGGCGCGUAGGCGGCCUUCUAAGUCGAACGUGAAAUCCCCGGGCUCAACCCGGGAACUGCGUCCGAUACUGGAAGGCUUGAGAUUGGGAGAGGGAUGCGGAAUUCCAGGUGUAGCGGUGAAAUGCGUAGAUAUCUGGAGGAACACCGGUGGCGAAGGCGGCAUCCUGGACCAACACUGACGCUGAGGAGCGAAAGCCAGGGGAGCAAACGGG